GUAAGGAGAGUCAACAUGUCAGACAGAAGACGGCAGGGGUAUGAACUGAUGUACUCACAUCAGCACCAGCCCUCCAGGGAGGGGAGCAGACCUCUCCAAUCUCUAAACUGGUUGAGUCUCCAAAGAGAGAAACCGUGGCUUAUCCUCGAGGAAGGGCCCAGCACAUUUUCAAAAGGCAGGUCUGACCAUUCUGUCCAUGCCCUUAGGCUGCCCGGUGCCAUGCCUGUAAGCGCCAGGGAAAGCUGCUGGAAACCAUCCACUGGCGCGGGCAAAUCCGUCAUUUCUGCAACCAACAGUGUCUGCUGCGCUUCUACAGUCAGCAGAACCAACCCAACUUGGAUACCCAGAGUGGGCCAGAAAGCCUCCUGAACAGUGAGUCU
rnacentral:lncRNA from 1 species